AGGGCAAAUAAAAUCAAACUCAGGGGAGAAAGCUUUGGUUCUGCUUUCGGAUAGAAGUGUUGUGACAGUUCCCACAGAAGACCUUCUACCAACUAAUCCUCGGAUACUUGACUAAGUUGAUGAUCUUCCACAACUAAGUUAUUUGAGCGUUUAGUUCUUCACAAUCUUCAAUAUAGAUAUUUACAAGAUAAUUUAAAUAGAAUGGCAGGCUCUGGAUUUUUGUCCGUCAAUCCAUAUAAAAAUGUCUAGGUAUAUGGGGAUGAUAAAGAAAGAAGCUUUUGGACACUCCUCAUGCUUAUGCUGUAGCUGAUGCGGCAUACAAUGCAAGGAUAGCAGAUGAAGUAAGCCUGGCUAUAAUUAUCAGUUUAAGCUGAAAAGGUUAAGAGAGUGGACGGAAGGGGCACAAAAUGAGGAAAUUGACUGAUAAGAAAGGAGGGAGGUGCAAAAAAGAAAAAAGAAAAAAAGAAAGAAAAAAAGAAAAAAAAGAAAGGAGGUGCAAAAAAGAAAAAGAAAAAAAAGUAAGAUGGAGAUGCAUGCAAAAAUAGAAGAUAAAGCGUUGUUGGUGGAGAUGGAAUCAAGAACUGUUACAAGGGAGAUAAGGAGUUGAUAUAGGAGAGGAAUGAGGCUGACAUAGGGGGGAACAAGAUGAGGAAGUUGCCUGAUAAGAAAGAAGGAGAUGCUAAAAAUAAGAAAGAAAGAAAGAAGGAGAUGCACGCAAAGAAAGAAGAUAAAGAUCUGUUGGAGAGAUGAAAUCAACAACCUCAUGAACUAUUACAAGGGAGAAAAGGAGUUGAAGUAGGAGAGGAAUAGGCUGACACAGUUCUGAACAUGCAAGGGAAGAAGAGAAACUGCCCAGUCUAGGACAUGCUCCAGAUCCCAUGACGUGCAGAAGCUGACCAACACAAGGUAUGGUCAAUAUGCAAUAGGCAUCGAGGGCAACUAGGAUAACCAUGUUUGAGCCUUGUUUCCAUUCAAUGUACAUCCAACACAUGUUAUCCCAGCUAGCCAUAUUCUUGCCAAGUCUCUUUUCUCAGCCCUCUUACAAUCAUUGCUCUUGAGGGCAAAUAAAAUCAAACUCAGGGGAGAAAGCUUUGGUUCUAGUUUCGGAUAGAAGUGUAGUGACAGUUCCCACACAAGACCUUCUACCAACCAAUCCUCGGAUACUUUACUAAGUUGAUGAUCUUCCACAACUAAGUUAUUUGAGCGAGCCUUUAGUUCUUCACAAUCUUCAGUAUAGAUAUUUACAAGAUAAUUUAAAUAGAAUGGCAGGCCCUAUAUUAUUGUCAGUCAAUCCAUUUAAAAUAUCCAGCUAUAUGGGGAUGAUAUAGCAAGUAGCUUGCUGAUGCAACAUGCAAUGCAACGAUAGCAGAUGAAGUAAGCCAAGCUAUAAUUAUCAGAUUUAUUUGCUACCACUUGGUUUGGUACUCUGUUUAAGUUAAAGGUGAAAUGGAAAGAGAGUGAACGGAGGGACAAAAUGAGGAUGUUGGCUGAUAGAAAAGAAAGAGAUGCAAGCAAAGAAAGAUGAAAAAGAGCUGUUGGAGAAGAUGAAAUCAGUAACCUCAAAAACCGUUACAGAGGAUAAAAGGGUUGAAAUAGGAGAGGAAUGAGGCUGACACAGUUUUGGAGAUGCAAGGGAAGAAGAGAAAUCAAGACAGGCAAAUGAGAAUGCAUACUUGACAAGGGAAAACUAGUGCCUGCAUUGUGGAGUACCACUAGCUGACAUCACAGGAUCUCUCAUCUACUUAUGAGGGCUUGCGAUAGAGAAUGCAGCUUGAUUUUUUCUCUCUAAUAAAGGCGAUGAAGAUGGGAUUUUCAACAGAGUUAACAACACCCCUGACAGAUAUUUUGGGAUUCUCUAAAUCCUGGAUGAGUGCUUUGAUGAAGAACAGAAGUAGGCUUAGUUUGCCCUUAAUUUGUUUGGGAACCUUAGAUUCUAUCAGAAUUUGUAAAGAAGACUAGAAACAUGCCUUCGAGAAGCUUUCUGCCGUUUUGUGACUGGGAACAUAUCAUUUCUUGUAACUGAUAAUCAAAAGCACAUCAAGGUUGUCUCUGAUGAAGCUAUUACAAAUGCUACUGGCUUGAUUGGCUCUAGUGAGAAAGACCUGAUUCUGACAAGAUCAGCCCGGAGGUCACCGAAUGUCUGACACAUGAACAGGCAAUCGACACAAGAGAUGCAUUGGCAAUGUUUAUUUAUGUGAGCAUGUUCGACUGGCUUGUGGAGAAGAUAAACUUGUCACUUUCCUAGGGGAAAGGUGAUAUGGGGUGUUCAGUAAGGAUCAUUGAUAUGGAUUUGAGUAACUUAAGGUAUACAAUGAUUGAUAUUUUCCACAAUGUAUACUAUGGUGUGUUUUGUCCCACUUUAAAUAAUCUUAGUUGGAUGGUUGCUUUUUUGCACCUAAAGAAUGGCUUUUUAGUAUGAACUGUUUUGCAUCAAUUAUGCUGACGAGCGGCUCCAGCAUCAUUUCGAUCAACAUCUCGUCAAACACGAGCAAGAAGUAAGCAUCACAAAAGUUAUUACAGUUUAUUUCCUUCUGUCUUUCCUUCACAAAAUAAAGCGUGCAAGGAUUACAAUUUGUGAAUUCAUAAGUAAAUCUUUCUGCCUUAAUUAUCUGAAUCAUUAAUGCAUUAAUCAACUUAAUGUUAAUUGUUUUGAUUUCAAAUUGUGCAUUAAAUAUUUUAGCAUAACCCUUAUGAUAUAUGAAUUUUGUUAUUGGUUUUGAUGAAACAUAUUUACAAUCAAAAGAUUAUGAGUUGGAUGAAAUUGACUGGAAAAGGAUUUUGAAGACAACCAAGAUUUUGUAGGUCCUUUUGAGAAGGUAAUCAGGGUUCUUAUUUUUGUAUAGUAGGGUUUUCCUUUAUCACGCAGCAUUUUGAUUGACAUAGUUCUAUUUAUGUCUAUGAGUGGGAUGGGGAGAAGGCCACUAAAGCCAUUUUCUGUUAAUUAGUAACACAUUAUCUACUAAUUGUUAUUUUAUUUUUGUCUGACUUUUACUUGCAUUUGUUGAAUAGAUAUGUUUUUAGUAUCGAACAAAUUAUGUCUCUUAACUUAUGGUGUGCUUGAUCAGACAUGUAUUGGAUUCAUACUUAACAUUUGCUUGUAAACUUAAACAUCACUUCAGUACUAACCGUUGGUUUAUGGAACACUUUAUCUUGGGUUAUUUUUGAGCUUUAAUUGUACAGUGCCAAUUUGGCCCACAUCUGUAGAGGAGAGACCAUCUACAGAAUCAGCCAUACCUCAAUUCCUUGGAGAGGAAGUUUUCAAUCCCCAAGUAUAAAAGCAAUGCUCUGCCCUAAUUGAAGUGGACGAGCAACCGGUAAGGAAAACAAAAAUCCUCCUUUUCCCUUUGAAUCUGUGACAGUUACAAUUAGUUAUAUUGAAUUCAUUUUCCACUUUUAAAUGCUUGCUAGCUAGUAGACAACAGAACAAAGCUUUGUCGAUGUUAGCUUUUCUUUUCUCUACCAAAGAAUGGUUGAGUUCUUUUGUCGCCAUGUUGCUAAGAUUCUGUUGUGAUUGCUCCAAUUUGUUUGUUUAGAAUUUCAGUAAGUUUGUUGAGAAGAUCUAUUGAAUUUCCAUGUUUCUGUAUAUUUUUACCAGCCUACCUAUGAUCUACUUGCAUUACUCUCUAUUUUUAGAAUUUUGCUAAGUUUCCUCUGCAUUUUUUUACCCCUUUAUAUAAUGUUUACUACAUGAGUUCUUUUGGAAGUUUUUAAAGAGUUUGUAUGCUCUUAGAUUAAGUUGACUGAUCUCCAUUUUCUAGCCAUGUUUGUGAAGUUUCCAGCCCAUUGUCUUUCAUGCUUCAACUUUUGUUUAAUGUCCACAGUUUCCUAAAACAUGAUUCCCACUCUCUUUUGAAUCCAAGUUUAUUUUUAGGUUAUAUUCUGUCUUUCAGUGUUCUCUUUCAAGCUUUCCAAAAGUAGGAUGGAGGUCUCGAUUUCCCACACUUAGUUAGAUUCAGUUUACUCUCUUAUUCCUAGUUCUCAUAUUUAAAAUUCUAGUUUCCCAUAUUAGUGUUUAGGUCCACUUUAAUCCUUAAGGAAGUGGUGGCUUACACCAAACCUCAUAUAAGCAACUUCAUUGUUGUUGGGAAUAUGUAAGGUGCUAAAAUAUAGACCUGUAAGCAUUCUUUUUAAUGGUCAAGUUGAACCUUGAAAAGAUAUUAUUUUUGUCUAUUCUUAGUCAUAUUUUUCUGACAUGGCUUUGCUAUUUUGCGCACAUCCAAUGUUAAAUUCUUCAAUUAUGAGCAAUCCUUGAAAAGAAUUGUUCAGUUGUUCCAAGGAGAGUGGCACUACCACAUUUUCUAUAAGCUCUGCUCUGUUGUCCCUUCUGGUCCCCAAGCCUUAUAGUGAGCGAGACCUGAUGCUUACAAUGUCAGCGCAGAAGGUACGAGCGGGAAAUGAUGAGGUCACCAAAUCUCUGACACUUGAACAAGUUCAUAAUUUCAAAGAUCAAUAUUACUUGCAUAAUGCUUAUUUUCAGGAUGUUUUGAUUGCUAAACCGUCACACUUAUGAUCAACAUGUCAGUUCCACGGGGAAAGAUAACAUGGAGUUAAGGUAUACAAUGAUUAAUAUUUUCCUCAAUAUAUAUAUAGUAUGGUGUGAUUUAUCCCAUUGUAAAUAGUCUUUCUUUACCAACCCACUUUAAUCAAUCUACUUGUAGUCUUUGAUUGCUUUUUACCACCAGAAGAACAGCACUUUUUACAUCUGUUACGCUGACGAGCGGCUCCAGAACCAUUUCAAUCAACAUCUCAUGAAAACUUGAGCAAGAACCAAGCAUCACACAUAAAAGUCUUUACAAUUUAUUUCCUUCUGUCUUCCUUCUCAAAAUAGCGCCUGCAAGGAUUACAAUUUGUGAAUUCAUAAUUCCCACAGAAGACCUUCUACCAGCCAUUCAGAAGAUACUUGACGAAGUUGAUGAUCAUGCACAAGCUAAGUUAUUUGAACAAGCCUUCAGUUCUUCACAGUCUUCAGCAUAGAUGUUUACAAUUACUUGCAUAUACCUUAGUUUGUUCUCUUUGUUUGAGGGAAAGCGUACUUCCAGUGUGAGGAGGUUUGGUGAGCCAUAUUUGUGACACUUUAUGAUGGGUUAUUUUGAGCUUUAAUUGUACAAAUACCAACAUAAUUCUCUGAAACUUGUGUAGCAAAUGGAGGAAAAUGAAUUCACGGUAAAAUGGAGUUUGGAAAUAACAGAAAAAUGCUGCAAAAAUGAGCUAAAAGAGAAAAAAAUGGGAGUGCUAAUAGAAGAAUGGUUGAAUUCUAUCGUUGCUUGUUGCUAAGAUUCUGUUGUGAUUGCUCCAAUUAGUUAGUUUAGAUAUUCUGAAAGUUUGUUGAGAAGCUCUAUUGAAUUCCAUGUUACUGUUAUUUUUCUAGCCUACCUAUGAUCUACUUGCAUUGCUCUCUGUUUUAACCACAUUAGUUUAGAAUUUGCUAAGUUUCCUGUGAAUGUAUUUACCCCUUCAUAUGAUGUUUAUUACAUACUUCUUUUCGAAGUUGUUAAAAUCAAUUUCUAUGCUCUUAGAUUAAGUUGACUGGUCUCUAUUUUCUAGCAACUUCAUUGCUGCUGGGAAUAUGUGUGGUGCUAAAAUAUAGACAUGUAAGCAUUCUUUUAAUGGUCAAAUUGAACCUUGAAAAUAUAUUAUUUUUGUCUAUUCUUAGUUAUAUUUUUUUGACAUGGCUUUGCCAUUUUGCACACAUCCAAUGUCAAAUUCAUCAAUUAUGAGCAGUCCUUCAAAAGGUCAGUAUGCUUAUCAAAAUCAGUGAGUUUGUUCCCUAGUCUGCAUAUUUAUGAUUCACUGGAAUUGACAUGAUUUCAUAUUUGACCUGUAAAGAAUUGUACAGGUUGUUCCAUGAAGAGUGGUCCUAUCACAUUUUAUAUAAGCUCUACUUUGUGUCCCUUCUGGUCUCCAAGGUUUGUACUAAGCUUUUCCCCAAUUAUUUAGUUUUCGACAUGCAAAUGUACCUUUUUCUCCUACAUAAAUGAAGAUUAUGGGAAUAGUUCAAAUACUUUUGGACGUGGUGAUUACUCUGAUUUACUUUUUUCUAUUAUUAUAUCUGUGGCAUACAAAAAUCUUUUUUAUAAGCUUGUAUCAUUUUUACUUAAUAGCUGUUGGUGUUUCAUUGUUAAGAACCUAUUUUCUUUAAAACAUACCAAAGCAUGAAUGUAACAUAUAUUGUUGAUGAUGCAUAAGUCAUUGCACUUUUCUCUUAAUAAAAAAAUCAUUUAUUGCCUAAAACACAUGUAUAGCUUUUCUGGAAAAUAUUAUAACCGGAAGCCUAUGAGUAAAUGAUUUCUGAUCCAAAACAUUGAUAAUGAACAAAACCUUCAUAAUCUUAUGGUCAAUGACAGGUCUUGAAUAUGCACUGUAUGGUUAGCUACACCCAUUUGUUUUUGUCGUACACAGUCAUUAUUCAAGCACCCAACCACUUUUGUGUCUGGAGAGCCUUAGAUUCUAUAAAGAUGACCAGGAACGCCUCAAAAUGCUUGCUACAGUUUUGUGGCUGGGAAACAAAAGCACAUCGAGGUUUUUCCUGAUGAAGCUUGCUUGACGGGCUGUAAUGAGCAAGAUCUAGUGCUUACAAUGUGAAAGUACGAGCGGGAUCCGUGCCAUUUGAACAAGUUCUUAAUUUUUUGUGUGUGCGCGCAGUGUAAAUUUUGUGUAUGAGUAUUUAGUGUGUGUAUUUCGUGUGUA